UCCUGGCUCAGAUUGAACGCUGGCGGCAGGCUUAACACAUGCAAGUCGAGCGGAAACGAUGGUAGCUUGCUACCAGGCGUCGAGCGGCGGACGGGUGAGUAACACUUAGGAAUCUACCUAGUAGUGGGGGAUAGCUCGGGGAAACUCGAAUUAAUACCGCAUACGACCUACGGGAGAAAGAGGGCAGUUUACUGCUCUCGCUAUUAGAUGAGCCUAAGUCGGAUUAGCUAGAUGGUGGGGUAAAGGCCUACCAUGGCGACGAUCUGUAGCUGGUCUGAGAGGAUGAUCAGCCACACCGGGACUGAGACACGGCCCGGACUCCUACGGGAGGCAGCAGUGGGGAAUAUUGGACAAUGGGCGAAAGCCUGAUCCAGCCAUGCCGCGUGUGUGAAGAAGGCCUUUUGGUUGUAAAGCACUUUAAGCAGUGAAGAAGACUCCAUGGUUAAUACCCAUGGACGAUGACAUUAGCUGCAGAAUAAGCACCGGCUAACUCUGUGCCAGCAGCCGCGGUAAUACAGAGGGUGCAAGCGUUAAUCGGAAUUACUGGGCGUAAAGCGAGCGUAGGUGGCUUGAUAAGUCAGAUGUGAAA
rnacentral:rRNA from 1 species